rnacentral:rRNA from 1 species
CCUACGGGAGGCAGCAGUGGGGGAUAUUGCACAAUGGGGGGAACCCUGAUGCAGCGACGCCGCGUGGGUGAAGAAGCGCCUCGGCGCGUAAAGCCCUGUCAGCAGGGAAGAAAAUGACGGUACCUGAAGAAGAAGCCCCGGCUAACUACGUGCCAGCAGCCGCGGUAAUACGUAGGGGGCAAGCGUUAUCCGGAUUUACUGGGUGUAAAGGGGGCGCAGACGGCGAUGCAAGCCAGGAGUGAAAGCCCGGGGCCCAACCCCGGGACUGCUCUUGGAACUGCGUGGCUGGAGUGCAGGAGGGGCAGGCGGAAUUCCUGGUGUAGCGGUGAAAUGCGUAGAUAUCAGGAGGAACACCGGCGGCGAAGGCGGCCUGCUGGACCGCGACUGACGUUGAGGCUCGAAAGCGUGGGGAGCGAACAGGAUUAGAUACCCCGGUAGUC